rnacentral:rRNA from 1 species
GACGAACGCUGGCGGCGUGCUUAACACAUGCAAGUCGAACGGAAAGGCCCUGCUUUUGUGGGGUGCUCGAGUGGCGAACGGGUGAGUAACACGUGAGUAACCUGCCCUUGACUUUGGGAUAACUUCAGGAAACUGGGGCUAAUACCGGAUAGGAGCUCCUGCUGCAUGGUGGGGGUUGGAAAGUUUCGGCGGUUGGGGAUGGACUCGCGGCUUAUCAGCUUGUUGGUGGGGUAGUGGCUUACCAAGGCUUUGACGGGUAGCCGGCCUGAGAGGGUGACCGGCCACAUUGGGACUGAGAUACGGCCAAGACUCCUACGGGAGGAAGCAGUGGGGAAUAUUGCACAAUGGGCGGAAGCCUGAUGCAGCAACGCCGCGUGCGGGAUGACGGCCUUCGGGUUGUAAACCGCUUUCGCCUGUGACGAAGCGUGAGUGACGGUAAUGGGUAAAGAAGCACCGGCUAACUACGUG